GGCUGUGUAGUGUAAAUGGCUAACACUAUUGCUUUGCAAGCAAUCAUUGCGGUUCGAGUCCGACACGGUCCA
rnacentral:tRNA from 1 species